AUUGAACGCUGGCGGAAUGCUUUACACAUGCAAGUCGAACGGCAGCACAGACUUCGGUCUGGUGGCGAGUGGCGACCGGGUGAGUAAUGUAUCGGAACGUGCCCAGUCGUGGGGGAUAACGCAGUGAAAAUUACGCUAAUACCGCAUACGAUCGAUGGAUGAAAGCGGGGGAUCGCAAGACCUCGCGCGCUUGGAGCGGCCGAUACCAGAUUAGGGAGUUGGUGGGGUAAAGGCCCACCAAGCCAACGACUCGUAGCUGGUGUGAGAGGACGACCAGCCACACUGGAACUGAGACACGGUCCAGACUCCUACGGGAGGCAGCAGUGGGGAAUUUUGGACAAUGGGCGAAAGCCUGAUCCAGCCAUUCCGCGUGCAGGAUGAAGGCCCUCGGGUUGUAAACUGCUUUUGUACAGAACGAAAAGGUUUCUACUAAUACUAGGAGCUCAUGACGGUACUGUAAGAAUAAGCACCGGCUAACUACGUGCCAGCCGCCGCAGUAA
rnacentral:rRNA from 1 species